AGCGGGACGGUGAACGGAGGAGGGUUGGCGGAGAAACCACCCGUCUCUCCUCUCGGGGCCCCAAAAAGGCGGCCUGCGGCGACCGCGCGCUGUGACUGUCCAACGCACGCUCCGCCCAUAGGCGACCCUGGCGCGACGCGUGGGAGAAAACGUUACAGUCUCUUUUUUUCCUUUUUCCUUUUUUUUUUUGUCAAUUGUGGGACAAGAGCAACGACACAAUAACGUCAUUUGAAUGCAGUCUCCUGUGUGCCGCGCCUUUGCUGUCACCCAAAGCCCAACAUUGAAACACAUGUAGUCCUUAAAUCCUUUGCUGGUGUUCUUGGCUUUUGUCCCUGCCCUUGCAGUAGCCGCCCUAUCCUGCCUGGGUUUUCAUCUUUCCAACUACAGCCUCUUUCUCCCAAAAUCCACAUGUUUUGUCUGUUUUCUAAUCUUGGCUUCUGUUUGAAACGAACUGCAAGCCUUUAAACAUGUCUGUGGGUUCCCUCCACCUCCAUAGAUUCGGAAGCAAUUGGUCUUUCGUGAUGUCUGGGCUUCGAAAGUUUUUUUGUGUGCGUUUAUUUUUGUUUUUUGUUUAGUAACCUAGCUAUUCUCACGCACAAGUCACGGAAAAAUUAACUGUUAAAAGCGUCUAUUUUUGUGACCCUACCUAAACAUCGUUUUGCAGCUUCAUCUCUCGCAGGUGUAACAGAUGCUCAUGCUGAUCGUAAGGCCCAAGGAGACUUUUCAGCACAGCCUCUGAAGCAGUGGCAUUGGCAGCAUCUCCUCUGCUCUCUGGGAACCAGUUGGCAACCUCUGGAAGCAUUUUUCAUUGUCAGUGUUUCCUGAGCCUUAUAUGUUUGGAGUGUUUGCUAUAAACUGGGACUGGGCUCCACAACUCUAUGGACUGGUUGGGCUCUGAACCAUCUCAUGGUCAUUAAGUGAAUCUGUCGCCUGGGAACCAAAUGACUGGGAAGAGAAAGGCCAUCCAUAGGGCUGGUGCUGAAGCAUUGCUUCUACAGCGUUUCCAGCCCAUUGACCACUCCACCACAUUCAGUUAUCAGAACCAGUCUCAGCCAAGAGGUGGAUUGUGAUGGUGCCUGCCUUCAAUCCCAGCACUUGGCAGGCAGAUCUCUAUGAGGAGUUUAAGACCAGCCUGGGCUGCAUACUGAGACCCUGUCUCAAAACAAACAAAAGUGGACUUGGCUUUGGUUUCCAGCUUCCCUUUCUUCAAACUUCCUCAAGGCCACUGUCUCCCUCUUCUCCAGGAGAAAAUGGAUCUUCAUCUCCUUGUAUCUUGCUCUCCUUUUAUACCCAUGCUGACUAAAUUUUUCGCCAGCUUGACAUAAACUAGAGUUAUCUGAGAGGAUGUGUUCCAGGUCCCCAGACCUCUAGCAUAACUCAUAGAAGUACAAUACAGGUCAUAGAAUCCAGCAUGUAGAAAGCACCACUAGCCAAAACAAUAACCAAAAGCUAAUCCAUCGAAGUCCUUAAAUGUACUGACCUUGCUUAUUGCCUUCUAUAGUUCUGCUUCUGGCUAACUGUUCUUGUUAACUGAACUAUGUCAACAAGAUCAUGGUUUUUGUGCUUCUAAAAGCUCACCCUAAGAAAGGCUCAGUGCUACCCUGGGACCCUGAACACCCAGUAUACUUGCUGGACAGAUAAUAAAGACCUUUUAUUGGCUU
ensembl:processed_transcript Gm14634 predicted gene 14634